rnacentral:rRNA from 1 species
GACGAACGCUGGCGGCGCGCCUAACACAUGCAAGUCGAACGAGCGAGAGAGAGCUUGCUUUCUCGAGCGAGUGGCGAACGGGUGAGUAACGCGUGAGGAACCUGCCUCAAAGAGGGGGACAACAGUUGGAAACGACUGCUAAUACCGCAUAAGCCCACGGGUCGGCAUCGACCAGAGGGAAAUGGAGCAAUCCGCUUUGAGAUGGCCUCGCGUCCGAUUAGCUAGUUGGUGAGGUAACGGCCCACCAAGGCGACGAUCGGUAGCCGGACUGAGAGGUUGAACGGCCACAUUGGGACUGAGACACGGCCCAGACUCCUACGGGAGGCAGCAGUGGGGAAUAUUGCACAAUGGGGGAAACCCUGAUGCAGCGACGCCGCGUGGAGGAAGAAGGUCUUCGGAUUGUAAACUCCUGUUGUUGGGGAAGAUAAUGACGGUACCCAACAAGGAAGUGACGGCUAACUACGUGCCAGCAGCCGCGGUAAAACGUAGGUCACAAGCGUUGUCCGGAAUUACUGGGUGUAAAGGGAGCGCAGGCGGGAAGACAAGUUGGAAGUGAAAUCUAUGGGCUCAACCCAUAAACUGCUUUCAAAACUGUUUUUCUUGAGUAGUGCAGAGGUAGGCGGAAUUCCCGGUGUAGCGGUGGAAUGCGUAGAUAUCGGGAGGAACACCAGUGGCGAAGGCGGCCUACUGGGCACCAACUGACGCUGAGGCUCGAAAGUGUGGGUAGCAAACAGGAUUAGAUACCCUGGUAGUCCACACCGUAAACGAUGAUUAUUAGGUGUUGGAGGAGUGACCCCUUCAGUGCCGCAGUUAACACAAUAAGUAAUCCACCUGGGGAGUACGACCGCAAGGUUGAAACUCAAAGGAAUUGACGGGGGCCCGCACAAGCAGUGGAGUAUGUGGUUUAAUUUGACGCAACGCGAAGAACCUUACCAAGUCUUGACAUCCCUUGACAGACAUAGAAAUAUGUAAUCUCUUCGGAGCAAGGAGACAGGUGGUGCAUGGUUGUCGUCAGCUCGUGUCGUAAGAUGUUGGGUUAAGUCCCGCAACGAGCGCAACCCUUAUGGUCAGUUACUACGCAAGAGGACUCUGGCCAGACUGCCGUUGACAAAACGGAGGAAGGUGGGGAUGACGUCAAAUCAUCAUGCCCUCUAUGACUUGGGCUACACGCGUACUACAAUCGCGUUAAACAAAGAGAAGCAAGACCGCGAGGUGGAGCAAAACUCAGAAACAACGUCCCAGUUCGGACUGCAGGCUGCAACUCGCCUGCACGAAGUCGGAAUUGCUAGUAAUCGUGGAUCAGCAUGCCACGGUGAAUAAGUUCCCGGGCCUUGUACA